rnacentral:tRNA from 1 species
AUUUAAAUAGUUUAAUUUAAAAUAGUGAGGUGUGGUUUCACAGAUAAUUAAUUUUUUUUUAAAUA